CAUACUUUGAGCAAUGGAGAAAUACCUCUGCCUUUCCUCUAAAGUAACUGCGCCCAACAAGAUCUAGCUCUUUGUUUGCCUGGCUGUCCUUCCUCUCUAGAAUGUAGUGAGCAGGAACUGAAAGGGUCUUGUUUGCUGCUCCGGCAUCCAGAGCAGAGCAUGUAUUGGGUGCUCAGUAAAUAUCAGCACAUGAUGAACAAAUGUUGAGAGGAGAGAGGGAUAAAGAUAUUUGAGAACGAUUCACGGCGUGUGAUACACUGAGUGAGCUGCCUGUCUUUCUCUUCAAAGCCUUCGAGGUCAGACUUGUGCUUCUGUUAGGCGUGUCACUGUGCAAAAUCAAGUUUGAUAUCCCCGAGCCAUUGAUUCCCAGCUCUUCCACCUCUCCAGGGCUUCUCCUGCGGCUUUCUCGCCCUCUUCACCUGCCAUGGCUAGCAGCCUCAAGCAAGUUCCUAGGCCUCCAUGCCACCACCGCAGGAGUCUUUAAAAAUAUAGAUCUCGGCUGGGCGCAGUGGCUCAUGCCAGUAAUCCUAACAUUUUGGGAUGCUCAGACAGGUGGAUCACCUGAGGUCAAGAGUUUGAGACCAGCCUGGCCAACAUGGUGAAACUCCACCUCUAUUCAAAAUAUAAAAAUCAGCUGGGCAUAGCCGGGCACAGUGGCUCACGCCUGUAAUCCCAGCACUUUGGGAGGCCAAGGUGGAUGGAUCACAAGGUCAAGGAGUUUGAGACCAGCCUGAUCAAGAUGGUGAAACCCCAUCUCUACUAAAAAUAAAAAUAAAAAAAAUUGCCAGGCAUAGUGGCACAUACCUGUAAUCCCAGCUACUCGGGAGGCUGAAGCAGAAGAAUCACCUGAACCCGGGAGGUGGAGGUUGCAAGUGAGCUGAGAUCGUGCCACUGCACUCCAGCCUGGGCUACAGAGCAAGACUCCAAUUCAAAAGAAGAAAAAGAAGGAAGGAAGGAAGGAAGUUCUACAGGCGACCGUGCACAGACUAACUUCAGCACAGUGUCUGCCGCUGGUGGACAGCGGGGCAGGGAUAUUUGGGAAGAAGCUUCCUGAGUCCCAACUGUCCGCCCCGGACCAUCACUUUAUGCUGCCUUUGCUGGAGAGCUUUAAGUAAGAACAGUGCUGAGUGUCCGAGAGUGCCCAAGCCCCUGCCCCACUCCUGCAGGGGUGGAAGCCCUGGCUGGGCCCCAGCGUCUCCUAACAGCUACUCUAGGCUUCCUCCUGGCCUGCCUGGAUCCCGCUUCUUAGAACAAAGGUGAGACUGGCCACCUGCUUGUUUGUACUCAGGACUAACUGUGCACACAGCCUGGUCCAGAAAACCUCCUACGCUCCUCCUACAGCUUGCCUGUCCUGUGUCCCCAGGAGGCGACGGGAGGGGAAGCUGGUCUCUGUCCUGGAGCUGCCCCUGCCCUGGCCGUAUUUCUGGAUCAAUGCCCAGUGACCAGAGGCCUGAUAGUGCCACUGACUCACACGUUGGUGCCUCUUCCCCCAGGGGCUUAGAUGUGGAUGUUUCAAGGAAGGGAACAGCCUCCCUCUCUAACUUUGUUGAUGAGGUUGAAUUUAAACAGGAUAAAACUUUGGCCCUUGUCACUUUUUAAAAAUGUUUUUAAUUAAAUCGCCUGGAUCACUGAUACCCUGGGAGACGAGGAAAGGCAGCCCUGCAGUUUGUUAAUGAUACACCAUCUGUUUGUUCACACCGCGUGGUCACAUGAUCUUUGCUCUGCAGAACGUCCUGUCUCACUGGCCUAAACCAGUUUGCCGCUGACAUGCUCAGGAUGAAUGCCAGAAAAUCUCUCUUUUUCUUUUUCUUCGUCUCCCUCUGUCUCCCCUCUCCUUUUUCCUUCCCUCUCUCUUUCUCUUAUCCAUUUUAAGACUCGCUGUUGAAGCUAAACUUGUUGGCAGAAUUUGUAUAAACUGUUUAUGACACUUCAUCACAGGGUUCCACUGCCGUAUUGUAGCCUCUAGGAAGCUGUCCCUAGCUCAGAUAAACGGGGAAAUUUCAGGGUCAGGGGAAAGUCCAUGACAGCAGGCCUUUGAGGGCAGCACCGCUCAGCCACGGCGCUGGGGGGAAGUGCGGACCCCCCAGGGCAGUGGACGGUGAAGCCAGGGAGCCCCUCUGACCCGUCGCCAGUGGUCUCAUUGUGCCUCGUUUACUCUACCCAAACAAUACGUGACCAUUGAUUGACUCAUCUCACAUAAUUGAUUAAAUCCGUGAAGAGUGCUGCAUCCUAGGGUUUUGUUGUUGUUAUUGUUUGAGACAGAGUCUUGAUCUGUCUCCCAGGCUGGAGUGCAGUGGCACGAUCUCGGCUCACUGCAACCUCCACCUCCUGGGUUCAAGCGAUUCUCCUGCCUCAGCCUCCUGAAUAGCUGGGAUUACAGGCGUGUGCCAGCACACCUGGCUAAUUUUUUUGCAUUUUUAGUAGAGAUAGGGUUUCACCAUGUUAGCCAGGAUGGUCUCGAUCUCCUGAUCUCAUGAUCCUCCCGCCUCCGCCUCCCGAAGUGCUGGGAUUACAGGCAUGAGCCACUGCACCGGGCACACCUGAGAUAUUUUUGAGAGCUGUAAAUUUUAUUCGUUUUUGUGAAAACGGGGCCACAAAAGAAAAAAUAACAGAGGCCCAGAUGUUGACCCUCUGGUGGAAAAUGCCAUGGCUAAUUGAACCACUCUCUCACGACUGAGCCUGGAAUCCAUGUGGCAGAGGAUGGACGGCUGUGAAAGAUGAUUUAGAAAACAUUCAGAAGUCCAGCAACUCCAAGGUAUUGGGGUGCCCUCAGACAUUCUCGGCAUAGCUUGUCUCUGAGAAACCAGUCCUUAGUCAUUGCUUCAUGAAUAAGGUCACCAGUCACCACGGGAAGGGAGCGUGUCUUGUGAGCGGCCUUCUGAAAGGACAGGAGGCCAAGAGCCAUCAUUGCAAGCCCUGAGUUAAUGACAGGAGCCCCAAGAGGGACGGUGCCAUGGGGAUUCCACGGCCUUGGAGGUCACGCUAAGGGGCUUGGACUUGGUCCUUUGGGCAAUGGUGAGGGGACAUCAAACCUCUAAGCAUGAAAAAAAAAGAUACAUUUCCAAUAAAAUUGUAAUUAUUUAUGUUAAAAAGAA